AGUCAUAAUUGUUCGCAAGUAUGUAGGUACAGUCGGUGUAGGCACCGGCAAAAUCGACUUAGAGGUUUGGGGAACGUGGACCAGCUAGAAAAAACCACUAAAGAUCGAUUGAUGUGGACUUUCAAGUAACAAGAAGUGGCAGCGAAAUACACGUCCAUGUCUGGCUUAUACUAGCAAUUCAACCUACGGGUGACGCACCAUAUAUACUUCCUCACAGCUACGUUGUUCAAGAGGCACAGAGUAAUUGCUUAUUACUUAGCUAUGAACACCCAGCCAAUGGUGAGAAAUCAUGUAUGCUUUGGGGAUUAAAAAGAGAUGACGUGAACAAAGACACCGAAUGUUAUCGGAAGAUUUUGUCUGCGUGUCCAGACGAUAUGGAGGACAUCACGGAAAGCAAAUACAAUGACCCAUGUGAGCAGACUGAUGAGGAUGAAAGAAAAGGCGAAGAACUAAGAAUGAAAGAGAUACACGAGGCUAUGAAAUCAGACCAAUGAGUUGACUCAAGCAAAGCUAUGGAAGGGUGAUCAUGUAGUUAUUCAUUCUGCAUCCAUGUUUACAAGCUUCAUGCUCUGUCAAGAAUGAGAAACAUUUUACAAAUGAUAUAUAAAGUAAAUAUGUUGGCUUAACAAUCUGUUCCCCGAACGUUUUCGCGGUAGCCCAUUACUGCGAACCACUGAACCAAACCAGUAACAACGCGUUAUACUUUACCCUACAGUUAAAUUAUCCAAUGUUAAAGCUUUGUAGGCUUGCACUUCUUAAACAAAAAAAGACUCGCUAUCAGCAGCCAAAUAAAGCAGACCCAUUCAUUGA